AUGUUGGUCCAGAAGAUGCCGAUGGCCGCCGGCUACGAGGGCUUUCCCCUCAUCCCAUCGUUCCAGGCGGACAAGGAGCAGGCGGAGGCGGUGUUGGCCGUCAGGGCCAUCAAGGCCAAGGCGGAGGAGGCGUCGUUGAUCCUCAAGGCGGGGUGCGGCUCCAAGAGGAAGGCGGAGGAGGACGGCGGCGAGGUCACCGUCAAGGCCAAGGCCAAGGCCGCGGAGGAGGAGGCGGCAGCUUUCACCACCGUCAAGGCCAAGGCAGAGGAGGACUCGGACGAAGACGCUGAAUGGGACGAUGAUGAGUUCAUGGCCAGAAUCACGGCAGACCACGCCGCCCAUGUCGAGAAGAUGAAGGCUCUGUAUCCCACCAUCAAGUACGGGGACUACGACCCUAAGGUCUACUGCCACAGCCCCGACCCGGAGUCGGAUGCUUGGAAUCUCCAAAAGAAAUGCCUUGGUCUUGCUGAGAUUGCUGCCGGAUUACUGUAA
rnacentral:rRNA from 1 species